GUUAAAGGAAGAAAGGAAUGUGAGCUCUCCUAAUAUGCUAGGUAUCUUUCCGUGUAAGUUCUGACACUACAAUGCUAAAAAGAAGACGGAUCUCAAAAACAACUACUCAAAGCGAAGUGCACAGCUGUCUUACCUAAAGAGGCCUAUUUAUAGUAGCCUCUGGUAUUCUGGUCUGGGCUUUCUGAUUGGGUAAAAGUAAAGGAACGAAAUAGCCAAUGAAAAGGUAGACUUUUAAGUGUCGUUUACAUUGGCAUUUGUGACGACACACUAAAAUUAAUCCAAUCAUAAACGAAAUCUGAUUAACCUCAUUUGAAUACCGCAUCUAUAAAUGAACGGGGCCUCGGUGGGAGUGAUUAUUUUCUCAGGUGUUUGCAACAGUCUUGUAACUAUUAACGCUACGAUGCCUGAACCUACCAAGUCUGCUCCAGCCCCAAAGAAGGGCUCCAAGAAGGCGGUGACUAAGGCUCAGAAGAAGGACGGGAAGAAGCGCAAGCGCAGCCGCAAGGAGAGCUAUUCAGUGUAUGUGUACAAGGUGCUGAAGCAGGUCCACCCUGACACCGGCAUCUCUUCCAAGGCAAUGGGGAUCAUGAAUUCCUUCGUCAACGACAUCUUCGAGCGCAUCGCGGGCGAGGCUUCCCGCCUGGCGCAUUACAACAAGCGCUCGACCAUCACCUCCAGGGAGAUCCAGACGGCCGUGCGCCUGCUGCUUCCGGGGGAGCUGGCCAAGCACGCCGUGUCGGAGGGCACCAAGGCCGUCACCAAGUACACCAGUUCCAAGUAACUUUGCCAAAUGCCCUUAAGUACCGAGGACUGGAGGAGAUAGAAAGGGAAAGAAGACCUCCUUCUGGUAGGAUGUAGCUUCUGCACAAGGUGCUACCGUUGUGCCCCUGCUCUGCUUGCUAUUGCCUCAUGCCAGGCCGCGUCCUGCCGUGACGUCCUGCAUCCUACCCAUGAAACCCCAAGGCCAACUUUGUUUCAAACUUUUGGAGAACAAACUUGGCCUGCAUCUGGAACAUACUUGUUCUCAGCUGGAACAUCUCCCCUACCCCAGAGAGAAAAGGUCACGCAGCCAUGUACUAUAUCCAGCACCACAGAAACUUUAUUGUUUUUCCUCUGCUGCUUCUGGGGGCACAAAGAAGCCUUGGGAUGUGGGGGAAGGCUGUUCUUAUCUGGGGUUUACUCCCAGGCCAGGGGGCUGCCAUCGUCUUCACACACAUUCCUCAAAGAGGAAGCCCCUUUGGGGCAGGGAGGGGAGAGACAUGAAGACAGAGGAGAAAUGAAUGCAUAAAAUAACUGAAAAUAUGAAUCUAUACAUAGAACUUAGGAAGUCUCGUCUGCCUGAAAAUGACUGUGUGGAUCCCACCCAAAUCCAACUCAUCCUGGUUUGCUACACACUGGUUCAUCAAAAGAAGGUUACCGAGGGGAAGCAACUAAAGGUGUUUGCACUUCAUGUUACUUUUAUAAACAUAAAAAUAGAAUUUACUUCUGUUACAGACCUAGUUACUGGGAAUUCAUUACUUGCCAUGGACUACCUUUGCUAAGAAAAUUCUGAAUGAGAAGAUGGCAGGAAGUCUGAAAAAAAAGUUAUAAUUAAUAAAAUAUGCGGAGAAUUGUAAA